AGCCCCACAGUCAAGGAAUGGGGUGGAUUCACCCCAAAAUGAACAAAUAAACAAACAAACCCUUCCCUGGGUGUUUGUCUCAGUUUUUUUUUGGGGAUUAGCCCCACAGUCAGGGAAUGGGGUGGAUUCACCCCAAAAUGAACAAACAAACAAACCCUUCCCUGCCCCUUUCCUGCCCUCCCUGGGUGUUUUUCCCAUUUUUUUUUGGGGAUUAGCCCCACAGUCAGGGAAUGGGGUGGAUUCACCCCAAAAUGAACAAACAAACCCUUUCCUGCCCUCCCUGGGUGUUUUCCCCUCCCUUGGCACCGCUGUCACCACAGCUCGGUCCCAGCCAGACCCAGACCCCGGCUGGGGCCAGCACAGGCGCUGGAAUUUUCAUUCAGGGGAUGCUCACGUUUCUGGCAGGUUUGGGAUGAAAGGAAUCGGCUCCAGGGACACCAGGGAGUGGGAAAAAGUGAUGCAGCCGGGCCUCAGGCGGGGUUUUGGGGAAGGGUGAGAGCGAGGAGAGGAGCUGGUGGACCUGAAAUGUUAAUUCCUUCCAGCUGUUGUCAGUCUGGCAGGUUCUCAAAGGAAGUUUAAUAGACUGCAGUCGUCUCCCCUCGGCCCCGUCCCCCAUCCUGCCAGAACCUGGGAUUACAUGAGCUGCUCUGCCUUCCAAAAACCCGGGUUUAUUUUAUUUUAUUUUAUUUUAAUUUUUUUU
rnacentral:lncRNA from 12 species